GUGUUGUAUGAAAAGGAGAGGUCAGCACUUCCUGUGGCAAGGGUGAAAGAGGCCCUUGUGCCUGGAAACAUGCAUAUGGUAUAUGGUUAAGGCGUUGACAGUACUUUGUGGUAUAUAAUCAUAUUUUUAU